AAGGUUUCCUGGGGAAGGCUCGUCCGCCCAGGGUAAGUCGGGACCUAAGCCGAGGCCGUAAAGGCGUAGGCGAUGGACAAUCGGUGGAAAUUCCGAUACCACCCGGAAGCCGCUUGCAGCGAUGGGGAACACAGGAGGGUAGGCCGAGCGGGCCGUUGGUCGUGCCCGUCCAAGCCGGUAGGGCGGUAGAGAGGCAAAUCCCUCUACCAGAAAGCCCGAGAAGCGAGUGCGAGGGAAAUCAAGUACCGAAGCGGUCGAUCCCAUACUGGCGAGAAAAACCCCUAGUGAGGCUUUCAGGUGCCCGUACCGCAAACCGACACAGGUAGGCAAGGAGAGAAUCCUGAGGCGCGCGAGAGAACCCUCGUUAAGGAACUCGGCAAAGUGACCCCGUAACUUCGGGAGAAGGGGUGCCCUGAUAGGGUGAGGAAGACCUGCUCUUCCGAGCCCGAGAGGGUUGCAGAGAAGAGGCCCAAGCGACUGUUUACCAAAAACACAGGUCCCUGCCAAAGCGAAAGCUGACGUAUAGGGGCUGACGCCUGCCCGGUGCUGGAAGGUUAAGGGGAAGGGUUAUCCAGCACUCAACUCUGCUUACCGAAAGGAGACAAUGACCCAGCACUCAACUCUGAUGAUCAGCUUUGAUUUAAGCCCCACAGUUGGUCUUUGGAGUUGAGUGCUGGGCAACGAAGGUAAGAACCGUUCCACAAGAAAUCAGAACUGGAAACUCGUAUAUUACGAAGCGUACAGUUCCCCGGAAGAUGCAAAGGAGCGGGAAUACCGGCUGAAACAUCACGGUCAGGCUAUCCGCCGGUUAAAGCAGCGGAUAGCAA
rnacentral:rRNA from 1 species